GUGCUGGCUUCAGCAGCACAUAUAUUAAAAUUGGAAGGAAAUUGAGAUUAGCAUGGCCACUAUAUAAAGACUGACAUGCAAAUUUAUGAAGCAUUCCAUACUUUU